rnacentral:rRNA from 1 species
AUUGAACGCUGGCGGUAUGCCUAACACAUGCAAGUCGAACGAGGCAGCAAUGCCUAGUGGCGGACGGGUGAGGAAUACGUAGGGAUCUGCCCUUGAGUGGGGGAUAACCCGGGGAAACCCGGAUUAAUACCGCAUGAUCUCGCAAGAGCAAAGAGGGGGACCGCAAGGCCUCUCGCUUUUGGAGGAACCUACGUCGGAUUAGCUAGUUGGUGAGGUAACGGCUCACCAAGGCGACGAUCCGUAACUGGUCUGAGAGGAUGAUCAGUCACACCGGAACUGAGACACGGUCCGGACUCCUACGGGAGGCAGCAGUGGGGAAUAUUGGACAAUGGGCGAAAGCCUGAUCCAGCAAUACCGCGUGUGUGAAGAAGGCCUUCGGGUUGUAAAGCACUUUAAGUUGGGAAGAAAAAGCUUCACCUAAUACGUGGAGCCUUGACGGUACCGACAGAAUAAGCACCGGCUAACUCUGUG